rnacentral:rRNA from 1 species
AUGGCCGGAUCUGGUGUCCAAUCGGGUCAGGGAGGCGAGGUGGCAUCGGGCGAGCUCCAGCUCGUUGCAGGGGAUGCAGGAGCGACAGGGACUUGGCGAGCAGCGCAGGUGGUCUCCUGUGGACGGCGCGGCGCCCUGGAGGCGGGGACGAGGCUGAGGACACGGGCCACGUCGGAUUCAGCCGGCGGGAGCCCAUCUCCGAUGAUGGUGGCGCCGGCUGGUGCUCCUGUUCGAGGCAAGGACAGGGAGAGAGAGAGAGAGAUAGUCAAUCAAAGAAGCCGAACGAAAAAUGGGAAGAAGAGAGAAGGCGAGGGUGGCAGGCGCGCAAGGAGGAGGCAACGGGCGCGCUGGCGGCCCUACUACUCGGGUGCUGGUCACGGCAGAGGCUCGGGGCAGAGGAGGAGCACGGCGAAGUCGAGACAGAGGCGGGAUCGGGCAGAGGAGGUGCCCAUGGCGUUGGACUUGGCGUCCUGCAGGUCCGGCAGGGAUGGCGACCUUGAUGCAGGGGAGAGAUGGAGGCGUGGAUUCGGUGAGGCGGCGGAGUUCCUUCGGCGGCCAUGGCGCCUGGCGUGCUCCCUCUUGCAGCUGUACAGAGAGAAAGAGAGAGAUGUGAGAGGAGGGAGUAGAGGCAGGGAAGGAGAAGGAAAGGAGCAGGGGAGGUCUGGCUAUGGUCUCGGUGGUUGGCACCGGUUGGGAAGCGAAGAGCAGCGGAGAUCGGCGAGGUGUGUGGGUUUGACGAUGGGGAUCUGGGAGGAUCCUGAGGUGGGAGGAGGUGGUUGUGGUCUCGGUGGUUGGCUGAGUGGGGAUUGA